rfam:Fukomys damarensis contig127699, whole genome shotgun sequence.
GUGCAUGUGAUGGAAAAAAAAAUUAACCUCCUGAGAAUGUGAUGUCUCCAAAGGAACCACUGAUGCAC